GAUGAACGCUGGCGGCGUGCCUAAUACAUGCAAGUCGAGCGAACAGACGAGGAGCUUGCUCCUCUGACGUUAGCGGCGGACGGGUGAGUAACACGUGGAUAACCUACCUAUAAGACUGGGAUAACUUCGGGAAACCGGAGCUAAUACCGGAUAAUAUAUUGAACCGCAUGGUUCAAUAGUGAAAGACGGUUUUGCUGUCACUUAUAGAUGGAUCCGCGCCGCAUUAGCUAGUUGGUAAGGUAACGGCUUACCAAGGCAACGAUGCGUAGCCGACCUGAGAGGGUGAUCGGCCACACUGGAACUGAGACACGGUCCAGACUCCUACGGGAGGCAGCAGUAGGGAAUCUUCCGCAAUGGGCGAAAGCCUGACGGAGCAACGCCGCGGGAGUGAUGAAGGUCUUCGGAUCGUAAAACUCUGUUAUUAGGGAAGAACAAAUGUGUAAGUAACUAUGCACGUCUUGACGGUACCUAAUCAGAAAGCCACGGCUAACUACGUG
rnacentral:rRNA from 1 species